rnacentral:rRNA from 1 species
UACGUAGGGGGCAAGCGUUGUCCGGAUUUAUUGGGCGUAAAGAGCGUGUAGGCGGCUUUGCAAGUCCGUUGUGAAAACUCGAGGCUCAACCUCGAGACGCCGGUGGAAACUACAAAGCUAGAGUCCGGAAGAGGAGAGUGGAAUUCCUGGUGUAGCGGUGAAAUGCGUAGAUAUCUGGAGGAACACCGGUGGCGAAGGCGGCAUCCUGGACCAAUAUUGACGCUGAGGAGCGAAAGCCAGGGGAGCAAACGGG